CUUUCAGCAGAAAGCGACCGCGCGGCUCUUUAGUUUACACGCAUGAUUAUGUGGAGUUUGGACUGAGACAGCGAGAGGCUGAGGGAAGUCCGGCUCGGUGAACGCACUCCGCGUGAAAACUCACCACAUUAGUGAGGAAAUCUCCGUCGCUGAGUUCCUCCAGGUCCAACAGAUGUCUCUCGCUGAGCAUAAAGUUCAGAAGUCCAGAGUGAGCAGCGAGGAGAAAGGGAUGUGCAGGGGGAGAGAGACAGAAAGGGGGUGAGAGGAGCUGAUGCGACUGCCCAUCACCGAAGCGCGCCUCAACUCCUCACCUGCUGACACAGUGGCGUCCCCUAAUAUUGCAUUCAUCCUGCUUCAACCUCUUUUCCAGCUGGAAUUGUGCAGCAAUCUCAUGCCAGAAGCUGCAGGCUCAAACUGGAAAACAGCCAGGUCAUCGGUGUUGCAAAAAAAGUCUGGCCCCCAUAUACAGUAGGUGCCUUGAACACUGUCAGAGGUGGAGGUUCAAAAAACUGGUACUUAGUAGGAGGUUUUAUUUCUUCCAUUUUCCUCCAUACAGGCUG